rnacentral:rRNA from 1 species
GACGAACGCUGGCGGCGUGCUUAACACAUGCAAGUCGAACGGAAAGGCCCUGCUUGCCGGGUACUCGAGUGGCGAACGGGUGAGUAACACGUGGGCGAUCUGCCCUGCACUUCGGGAUAAGCUUGGGAAACUGGGUCUAAUACCGGAUAGGAGCCAUCUUUAGUGUGGUGGUUGGAAAGUUUUUUCGGUGUAGGAUGAGCUCGCGGCCUAUCAGCUUGUUGGUGGGGUAAUGGCCUACCAAGGCGGCGACGGGUAGCCGGCCUGAGAGGGUGUACGGCCACAUUGGGACUGAGAUACGGCCCAGACUCCUACGGGAGGCAGCAGUGGGGAAUAUUGCACAAUGGGCGCAAGCCUGAUGCAGCGACGCCGCGUGGGGGAUGAAGGCCUUCGGGUUGUAAACUCCUUUCGCUAGGGACGAAGCUUUUUUGUGACGGUACCUAGAUAAGAAGCACCGGCUAACUACGUG